rfam:Sphingobacterium faecium PCAi_F2.5 genome assembly, contig: Scaffold21
UACAAAGCAAUGACAGAAAAGCAGUAGAGAAAUAACCACUGUUACAGAAAGCUAGUGGCGCUGGAAACUAGUACACGUUAUUUAUCGAAUUACAUUCUUGAGCUUCUGCCUACAGGGCACGGGUAACAGCGUUAUUUGUUAAGAGGUAUAUAGUAUUUUAAAUAAAUUAAACUAUGUAUAAAUUUGGGUGGUACCACGAGAAAUUCGUCCCUAAG